UGUGGAAAUGAUCCAUCCAGGAAGAUAAUGCCACCCCAGCCCUGCACAAGAAGCCUAUGUUGUGAGCACAGAGGUCUGAAGAGCUGGGUGCUGUCACAGAACAUCCUUGCCUAUCCAGUGGGAGGUUGCAAAGGAAGUGGAAUCUGCUUGGCUUAUCAUUCAGAUAUGACUCAUAACUCAAGGAAGAUUCAAGUGAUGUGGACAUAAAUCACAAAGACUUAGAAGACAAAACAAAACCAAAAAUACCUGCCAGUUGGUGGGGAAGUGGAGAGGGCAGAGUAUGCUAACUUAAACACAAAUUCAGGAAUUCUAAAGCUAUAAUUAUCAGUAAUGUUUUUGUAUCAUUAUUGCAGACUGUUUCUUUAGGAUAGAGUGUUGUCCUUGAUCAAAACUUCACAACAAAUUACAGCGGAGUCUGAGUGUUUUGAUCAGAAACGUUUACAGCAAUGGAAACUGACAUUGAACAUAUUGUUCUUUCCUUUUCUUUCAAUUUCUGUUUAGAGAUGAAAAGUUUCCAAACACUGGUGAUCUACAAUACCUAUUGUUCAAAUAAUUUCAUGCUCUGGAAUCUUGUACAAAAGAAAACUGUCUUCCCCUCAUCCCCCAUUGGAAUUAUUAUUAAAAUGUACACAUCUGAACUCCUAUAUUGAGAGGCACAAAGCUCUAACCUUGAGCUAAAAGAGAUAACUAUAGCCAGCAACAAAUACAAAUGAGUCCAACUGAUUCUCUAAUGACAUUGCUACUCAGUAGGACAGAGUAUGGAAGGUACUGCUUGACUCCAAGUGAAUACAUCUUAUCUAACA